rnacentral:rRNA from 1 species
GAUGAACGCUGGCGGUAUGCUUAACACAUGCAAGUCGAACGGACUCUUCGGAGUUAGUGGCGGACGGGUGAGUAACGCGUGAGAAUCUGGCUUUGGGUUCGGGACAACCACUGGAAACGGUGGCUAAUACCGGAUGUGCCGAGAGGUAAAAGAGAAAUUGCCUGAAGAUGAGCUCGCGUCUGAUUAGCUAGUUGGCGAGGUAAAGGCUCACCAAGGCAGCGAUCAGUAGCUGGUCUGAGAGGAUGACCAGCCACACUGGGACUGAGACACGGCCCAGACUCCUACGGGAGGCAGCAGUGGGGAAUUUUCCGCAAUGGGCGAAAGCCUGACGGAGCAAUACCGCGUGAGGGAAGAAGGCUCUUGGGUUGUAAACCUCUUUUCUUAGGGAAGAACAAAAUGACGGUACCUAAGGAAUCAGCAUCGGCUAACUCCGUG